AUUGAACGCUGGCGGCAGGCCUAACAAAUGCAAGUCGAGCGAGCGGCGGACGGGUGAGUAAUGUAUGGGGACUGCCCGAUAGAUGGGGAUAACUACUGGAAACGGUAGCUAAUACCGCAUACUAUCGGAUAACCCAUAUGGGAUUAGCUAGUAGGUGGGGUAAUGGCUCACCUAGGCGACGAUCCCUAGCUGGUCUGAGAGGAUGAUCAGCCGAACUGGGACUGAGACACGGGCCAGACUCCUACGGAGGCAGCAGUGGGAAAUAUUGCACAAUGGGCGCAAGCCUGAUGGAGCCAUGCCGCGUGUAUGAAGAAGGCCGUAGGGUUGUAAAGUACUUUCAGUGGGGAGGCGUUACCGACAGAAGAAGCAGCGGCUAACUCCGGGUCAGCAGCCGCGGUAAUUC
rnacentral:rRNA from 1 species